GAUGAACGCUAGCGGCAGGCUUAAUACAUGCAAGUCGUGGGGCAGCAUGAGUGUAGCAAUACAUUUGAUGGCGACCGGCAAACGGGUGCGGAACACGUACACAACCUUCCUAUAAGUGGGGAAUAGCCCAGAGAAAUUUGGAUUAAUACCCCGUAACAUAAUGAUGUGGCAUCACAUUAUUAUUAUAGCUUCGGCGCUUAUUGAUGGGUGUGCGGCUGAUUAGAUAGUUGGCGGGGUAACGGCCCACCAAGUCUACGAUCAGUAGCUGAUGUGAGAGCAUGAUCAGCCACACGGGCACUGAGACACGGGCCCGACUCCUACGGGAGGCAGCAGUAAGGAAUAUUGGUCAAUGGACGCAAGUCUGAACCAGCCAUGCCGCGUGAAGGAUUAAGGUCCUCUGGAUUGUAAACUUCUUUUAUCUGGGACGAAAAAAGGCGAUUCUUCGUCACUUGACGGUACCAGAUGAAUAAGCACCGGCUAACUCCGUGCCAGCAGCCGCGGUAAAAC
rnacentral:rRNA from 1 species